UCAUCUCCGGGGGUAGAGCACUGUUUCGGCAAGGGGGUCAUCCCGACUUACCAACCCGAUGCAAACUGCGAAUACCGGAGAAUGUUAUCACGGGAGACACACGGCGGGUGCUAACGUCCGUCGUGAAGAGGGAAACAACCCAGACCGCCAGCUAAGGUCCCAAAGUCAUGGUUAAGUGGGAAACGAUGUGGGAAGGCCCAGACAGCCAGGAUGUUGGCUUAGAAGCAGCCAUCAUUUAAAGAAAGCGUAAUAGCUCACUGGUCGAGUCGGCCUGCGCGGAAGAUGUAACGGGGCUAAACCAUGCACCGAAGCUGCGGCAGCGACACUAUGUGUUGUUGGGUAGGGGAGCGUUCUGUAAGCCUGUGAAGGUGUGCUGUGAGGCAUGCUGGAGGUAUCAGAAGUGCGAAUGCUGACAUAAGUAACGAUAAAGCGGGUGAAAAGCCCGCUCGCCGGAAGACCAAGGGUUCCUGUCCAACGUUAAUCGGGGCAGGGUGAGUCGACCCCUAAGGCGAGGCCGAAAGGCGUAGUCGAUGGGAAACAGGUUAAUAUUCCUGUACUUGGUGUUACUGCGAAGGGGGGACGGAGAAGGCUAUGUUGGCCGGGCGACGGUUGUCCCGGUUUAAGCGUGUAGGCUGGUUUUCCAGGCAAAUCCGGAAAAUCAAGGCUGAGGCGUGAUGACGAGGCACUACGGUGCUGAAGCAACAAAUGCCCUGCUUCCAGGAAAAGCCUCUAAGCAUCAGGUAACAUCAAAUCGUACCCCAAACCGACACAGGUGGUCAGGUAGAGAAUACCAAGGCGCUUGAGAGAACUCGGGUGAAGGAACUAGGCAAAAUGGUGCCGUAACUUCGGGAGAAGGCACGCUGAUAUGUAGGUGAAGUCCCUCGCGGAUGGAGCUGAAAUCAGUCGAAGAUACCAGCUGGCUGCAACUGUUUAUUAAAAACACAGCACUGUGCAAACACGAAAGUGGACGUAUACGGUGUGACGCCUGCCCGGUGC
rnacentral:rRNA from 1 species